AAUACGUCCACUCCUGCAAGUGUGGACAGACUGACUCGGUGGGUCUGGGCUCCUUGGAGCUGCCCCUCCACACCAUGGAGGCCCUGGACCGUGCAGAGGAGACACUGCAAAUGGACCAAACCGCCAAAAUAUGACUGCCCGUCUCGCCAUUAUCGGAGGGACUACCCUAGAGGUGAGGGUCCGCCGGAUGAUGGCCAAUUUGUUGACCAACGAACUGGCUUCAGGACUGAACUGGGCCGGAAAAAAGCAGGGCAAGGAGCAGGCCAAACAGAAGCGGCCCUUUAAAGACUUGGCACUCUGCCGAUCUAUGUUUGAUGCUAUUACACAGCAGCUCGGGACAGCCGCCGUCACCCAAUACACUUUUGCCCAGGCUGUUCAAAAGUGGCUGCGCUAUGCGCCAGACCGGGCAGGAGGGAGUGGAAGACGUGACGUCAUGUAAUC